UGAUUUAGGGUUUCUGGGUGCCAAGGUGUUAUUAUUUUCAUCAGGAAACUGAAGUAGAGCAGGACCAGUCACACCCUGGAGGUGGAGGCAGGAGGCAUCUCAGGUAGGAUGACCCCAGACAGCGUCCUCUCACCUUUCACGUCCAGCUUUCCGUUCAAGUCCCAGCCCGAGGUCUGCCUUCUUCACAAAGCCUUUUCUUUCUUCACUAUGACAGGAAAACUACCAAAGGAAAUAAUUACAUUCCAAAAUUUCAGCCAAAAAGUAUCAACAGAAAUGAAUUGGCUGUUUUACGCAGGGGUUAUCCUAGACGUGUAAUGGCUAAUGCCAGGUGGCUUGGGGACGUUCUGUCCAGGAUGUGCUUCUAUCAUCCAGCUCAACGCAGAGGAUGCUCCAGAGUAGCCCUGAUGACACAGUAUCCUCUCUCCUCUGAAUCAGAGCCCUGACCGACGUGACAGGAUGAGGAAUUACCCAAGGAUGAAAUAACACUUUCCCCUUCGACUUUCAGAAUACUCUCCUCUAUCUAAAGUGAUGUUUCCCAGCUUAGUAAAAGGUUAUAAAUGGUGUAGGAAUGAAAAAAUCUUUGUCCUGGGCUGAGAUGGCUGAGAGAUGUAAAAGUGGCCAAGGGAAAUUCUGACCCGCUCAGACGCUGACAAUCACCAGAAAAGAAAAGGGGGUUAAUAGUCAUUUCCUGUUCUGUUUUAAAGAGGGCUUUAAAUAGACAAGUGAGAGCUAAAUUUAGCAAAUAUUUUCAGUGGGAAGGAUCCAUGAAGGAAGGCACAAAGGCCAUGUGAGGUUCUGCUGUGGAUACUUGCAUCAGCAACAGGGAAGUGGCCUUGAGCCUUAGGCCAAUCCUGUGCCCAGAGUUGCUAUAUAAGCCCCCACCCCAGCAGGAGGCGGCAUCAGACCCUCCUCACCUCCUGAGUCUCCGUCCUCCCCUCUCCUGAGUCCUCUCUGCUGACACUAUGGGCUGCUGUGGUUGUGGUGGCUGCGGUGGUGGCUGCGGUUGUGGUGGCUGCGGUGGUGGCUGUGGCUGUGGCGGCUGCGGUGGUGGCUGCGGCGGUGGCUGUGGCGGCUGUGACAGCUGCACCUCGUACAGGUGCUCCCGGGGCGGCUCCUGCUGCGGCUGCUGU